rnacentral:lncRNA from 1 species
ACUUCCCGGCCUUUACCUUCUGGGAUCAGGGCUGGCCUGCACGCCGGACCUCUGGCGCUCUGCUCCCGGGGCUGGUCACGCGCCUCGUGUGGUGCUGCAAACCCCCGACUUUCUGUGUGAGACUGAAUUUAUUCAUCCACCGCUUCCUCCCGGAUAUCUCAUUGUUCUCCCUAAACUGCCUGUGUGUAAGCACUGCUGCCCAUGCACCCCAAAAUUGAAGUCUCUUUCCCCCUACUUCCGGUAUGCUGGCACCUACAGGAGUUGUAGACCUUAAUACAGCCCUACCGCUCAACGUUUAUCUCCCCUUUUCCACUCAAAUGUUGGAGGUUUAGGGAUAAAAAAAAAAUGCACCUUGUUAUCGUCUACAGUAGGCAAGUGUUACUGACUUCCUGCAAUUGAUGAGCCAGGGGUACUGGGUAAGCACAAAAGAAACUACCUUGGCUAUGUAUCAGACUGAAUGUUUUCUUAUUACCAGUUACAGAAUUG